rfam:Snodgrassella alvi SCGC AB-598-O02 SCG598O02_12239, whole genome shotgun sequence.
UUAUAUGACUCGGGGUGUCACCUAUAGGUGACUGAGAUAUUACCCGUAAAACCUGAUCUGGAUAAUGCCAGCGUAGGGAAGUCUAAGUCGUAUUUC